GUGCUUGCUUUGCCAGGACAUAUACGAAAACUGAAAUGAUAUAGAGAAGAUUAGCAUGGCCUCUAUGCAAGGAUGACACAAAUUUGUGAAGCAUUCCAUAUUUUA
rnacentral:snRNA from 1 species